rnacentral:rRNA from 1 species
UACGUAGGGUGCAAGCGUUGUCCGGAAUUAUUGGGCGUAAAGAGCUCGUAGGCGGUUUGUCGCGUCGAAUGUGAAAACCCGGGGCUCAACUCCGGGCCUGCAUUCGAUACGGGCAGACUAGAGUUCGGUAGGGGAGACUGGAAUUCCUGGUGUAGCGGUGAAAUGCGCAGAUAUCAGGAGGAACACCGGUGGCGAAGGCGGCGACCUGGGUAGAUACUGACGCUGAGGUGCGAAAGCGUGGGGAGCAAACAGG